AAGUCGUAACAAGGUAACCGUAGGUGAACCUGCGGUUGGAUCAUUAAAAAAUUUCCAAUAGCCUUUCAUGGCCAGGUGCUCCGGAAAUUUCUGGACCCGCGCGCCGUGAUAUGUGGCACCACAUUUUGUGAACCGUUCUGUCUUUGGUGGUGGGGUGAAACGCCUUCUUCGGCCUUCGCCUGUCAGCUCCGACUCUCACAAGUCCGAGCCGUGGACAAGCCACCGACCAUGUGUUUAAACCUAUGUUUGUUUUGUUUUUGUCUGACAUUUUUUACUUUGUAUUUUAAUAUACAAACAACUUUUGGCAACGGAUCUCUUGGGUCUC
rnacentral:misc_RNA from 1 species